UGGAGGGAGGAUUCCACUAAAAACCUCCAAUGGUGGUUUAUCUGGUGUCAGAAGCAAAAACAGGCCUGUGUCUUUUAAAGCCAAACAUGAGUGGACUUUUUGCCGGACUGCUGAGGGCUCGGUGGACUCUUGCUAACCGAACAGGUGUGAUGAUUAGACAACGAGCAACGUAUAUCAAGUCCAAACCACCGAAAGAUAAGAUCGGCGCUGCGGAAUCUAUGUUCGUGCUGACGGUGAUGACUGUGACCAUCCUCGGGCCUUCUGGUUGGAUACUUGCGCACUUGGACUAUUAUAAAAGCCGUGGCUAAUGGACGAGGCCAUGAACGCACAGUUUACCUACAUGUGUUAAAGUCAGACUUCCUGAUGUCAAAAAUACUAUUUGAACCUCUCCUGAUAUUUUGUAAACAUAAUAAAAUGUAGUUUCUCAAGUUCA